GAUGAACGCUGGCGGCGUGCCUAAUACAUGCAAGUAGAACGCUGAAGGGAGGAGCUUGCUCUUCUUGGAUGAGUUGCGAACGGGUGAGUAACGCGUAGGUAACCUGCCUUGUAGCGGGGGAUAACUAUUGGAAACGAUAGCUAAUACCGCAUAACAAUGGAUGACCCAUGUCAUUUAUUUGAAAGGGGCAAAUGCUCCACUACAAGAUGGACCUGCGUUGUAUUAGCUAGUAGGUGAGGUAACGGCUCACCUAGGCGACGAUACAUAGCCGACCUGAGAGGGUGAUCGGCCACACUGGGACUGAGACACGGCCCAGACUCCUACGGGAGGCAGCAGUAGGGAAUCUUCGGCAAUGGGGGCAACCCUGACCGAGCAACGCCGCGUGAGUGAAGAAGGUUUUCGGAUCGUAAAGCUCUGUUGUAAGUCAAGAACGAGUGUGAGAGUGGAAAGUUCACACUGUGACGGUAGCUUACCAGAAAGGGACGGCUAA
rnacentral:rRNA from 1 species